UUCCAGCGUCUACAAGGGCGAGUUUGUCUGCAUACGAAUUAAUCGUGUCAAAUGAACGAAGAAAGUUUCAUACAAUUCCGCAUUUGGUGUAGUUUGAAGUGUUUAAUUUUUUCUAUUGUUGACCUGAGAUAGUGGUAAUGCAAAGUCUAAACUGUCCUGGUGUUGUGGUAUGACAAUGAAUGUAUUUAUUCCCCAAGAAGAAACAACGUGCAGUGAGUUUCAAGACUAACGUGUUGUUUAUCGAAAACCUUUUCUUACUUGUUAAAAUCAGUGCAUUGACUUUGACUGACGAACUUGUAACAGGACGGAUGUGCCUUUGUUGAAAUGUUUCUCUUGAACGGAAAGUUCGUAUCGAAGCUUGGAGCAUUGGCCGAUGGAGAAACACGUGCAGAGGCGGUUAACUGAGCGGCGUAGCUGAGCGAGCGAUCCGUUCUGUCAGUUCACCCUUUCACGAUGCGCAGACACGUGGUAACUGCAGCCGUCAUCCUCACGAUUGUUCUAGUGCUCCGGGUCGCAGCGCAGCAGAACACGACCCUGCUCUCGGAAGAGGGCGACGACGCGGAGUACCUGGACAAACUCGAAAUGGAGCUG